rnacentral:rRNA from 1 species
UACGGGGGGGGCAAGCGUUGUUCGGAAUUACUGGGCGUAAAGGGCGCGUAGGCGGCCUGUUAAGUCGAACGUGAAAUCCCCGGGCUCAACCCGGGAACUGCGUCCGAUACUGGCAGGCUUGAAUCCGGGAGAGGGAUGCGGAAUUCCAGGUGUAGCGGUGAAAUGCGUAGAUAUCUGGAGGAACACCGGUGGCGAAGGCGGCAUCCUGGACCGGUAUUGACGCUGAGGUGCGAAAGCCAGGGGAGCAAACGGG